rnacentral:lncRNA from 1 species
UGUACUUGGCUUAGUUAGAUUGGAUCUAUAUACAUGCUUAGGAUCAUAUAGCGUUUAUCCAUCGGAUCCAUGGGUAAAUGAUAGAUAUUGUGUAGGCGUGGUGCUUAUACCGUAUUUAUCUGCGAUUGUACCCAAUAUGCCAGAUCGUGGGGUGGUUCGUGAUAGUGACAGCUUCAUUGAUUCUUAUAUAGUCCCCCUCUCGUGUAUUGGGCUGGCAGAGCAGCAUUAUUACAGGGGAGUGAUUGCUAUGUUUCUCAUUUACCUUGCUAAUAUCACUAUGCAUGGGCGUAGUCUUGUCUUGCAAUGAUUUCUAAGUAUGCUUGCACUAACUAUGAUAUGCUAGACUAUAUAGUUGAGAAUAACUUAGGGAAUAUUCUUGUAGUUCGUUCUAAUACCAUGCUAAUGACUUUCUAGAGUAUCUAAUUGAGGUGCUUAUCAUAUUUAUUAUGUGGCUAGAUCAGAUUAGUUAUCCUUGUCACUAUUAUUAUUUCAUAUAUCUUUUAUGUGACACUUAUCCUUGUAUGAAGAGUUAGAUAAAUGUUCUCAAUUAUACAUGCAAUGAUAGAUGCUCAAUCUCAUAUUCUAUUCUGUAAUCACUAUUGAUGAUUGCUAAUCCCUUCCCAGUGGUAAAAAUAUAAAUAACGAUACCUGGAAUACUUUCCGGUUAAAAUGCUACAUUGGUAUUAAUCUGUGCGCUUGCAGAUCCCAUUCAUUAUUUAUUUAGAAGAGCAAUUGCAUAUUUCAAUACCGCGUCUCUUAUAUCAUGCUGGGGAUGACAACUUGGCUUAAGUGGUGUGAGGGAUAGGUUUGGCAUUUUUGGCACCGUUACUAGAUUUAGAGAACUUAGUCUACUUUUGGUAAUGAUGUUAAGAAUACCCAACAGGGCACAGGACGCUACACCGGACGCUCUGUGAGUGCGUCCGGUGAGGUCCCUAGCCGUUGGGAGUUCUCGGUGCUUAGGGUUAAGCACCGGACACUGGCACCGGACUCACCGGGUAGCGUUCGGUCCCAUACCCAGGGAGGUUGUAAACCUUCCCCGAGCACCGGACGCACCGGGUAGCGUCCGGUCCCAUGCGCAGGGAGCAUGUAAAUCUUCCCAGAGCACUGGACGGUGCACCGGACGCAGGAAGUUAGCGUCCGGUGACCUAUCAGAAGCAAGUACAGUUAGCCAUUACGGAGCACCGGACGCUCGGUGCAGUGCGUCUGGUGCAACAUAAUGUGCGUCCGGUGACCCCGUUUUCAGUGGAAUACGGUUGGCCGACCUUUGGACUUCGUGGGUAGUAUUUAUACUCCUCCACCUCGUCCAUGAGAGCUCUCUUGCCCAUUUGAACAUCAGAGAAACUUGUUGUGGAGCAACAGAGCAGCAAGAGCCUAGAGAGGAUUGAGAUUUGAGUGAUUUCUUGAGGGAAUCCUUCUCUAGUGAAUUCCAAGAGUCAAGUGUGCAUCCACCACUCUCUAGAGCCUUAUUUGGGUCAAGUGAGAGUUCUUUGCUUGUUACUCUUGGUGAUCGCCAUCACCUAGACGGUUCGGUGGUGAUUGGAGGCACGAAGACCGCCCGGAGUUCUUGUGGGUGGCUCGUGUCAAGCUUGUGAGCGGUUUUGGGCGAUUCACCGCGACGGAGUGUCGAAGAAUCAGCCCGUAGAGAGCACUUAGUCCUUGCGCGGACCAAGGGGCAGCAAGACCCUUGUGCGGGUGCUCCAACGAGGACUAGUGGAGAGUGGCGACUCUCCGAUACCUCGGCAAAACAUCGCCGAGCACUUUCUUCCACUACUCCUUUACAUUCUAGCAUUUACUUUGUGCUUUUACAUUCUUAGAAUUGCCAUGCUAGAAUAGGAUUGGAACUAGGUUGCAAAACUUUUAUCCGGUAGCUCUCUAGGUCACACUAGGCACAAGGGGUUGAAUUGGAGCUUAUAGGUUGCUUAAAUUUUUGGAGAAGCCCAAUUCACCCCCCCCUCUUGGGCAUCUUGAUCCUUUCAAUUGGUAUCGGAGCCUUGUGCUCAUUAUUUAGGUUUCACCGCCUAGAGAAAAGAUGUCUAACGGGGAUGGACCGCCACCCAUGUUCGAUGGGGAUGACUUCCCGUAUUGGAAAAUACGGAUGGAGUCAUACCUUGAGGCAUGCGAUGUAAAGUGCCUAAAAGCCGCGACCGAAGGGUUUACCCCUCUGGCAAAAGACACCACUCUUACUCCACAAGAGCAAGAAAACGAGAAGUGGAAUGCGAAGGCCAAAAACCACAUCUUUAGAGGCCUUUGCAAAGAGGUGUUCAACCGCGUUAGGAGCCACAAAACCGCCAAUGCUCUUUGGAAGGAACUUUGUGCGCUCCAUGAGGGAUCAAAGAGUGAAUGCGAGGAACGCUAUCACUUAGUGAUGAACAAGCUAAAUACAUUUGAGAUGCUUCCCAAAGAAAAUGCUAAUGAAAUGUAUUCUCGCUUGAAUGUCAUUUUUGAGGAGCUAAAUGGACUUGGGCUCACUUAAAUGAGUGUGGCGGAUGUAGCAAGGAAGAUACUAUGUGUGCUUCCCAUUGAGAAAUAUGGGCACAUAGUGACGGUGCUUCAUCAAGGCGAUCUUUCCACCGCUACACCAACCGCCAUAUUAGGGAAGAUCAAUGCUUAUGAGAUGUACAUGCACAUGAACCCCCAAGAUGACUCCUCAUUGGCCAAGAAGGAUAAGAAGGACUUGGCUCUCAAGGCUUCUCACAAGGGCAAGGCCAAGAAGAUUGAAGUUGAGUCAUCAACUUCAAGUGAUGAUGAUGCAUAUAUUGCCCUCAUGGUGAGAAGAACCACAAAGAUGUUGAAGAAGCUCAACAAGAAUGGAGUCAACUUUGACUCUAAGAAGAAGAAGUUCUUCACAAGUAGCAAGAGAAAGCCCAUCUCCGAGAUGGAUUGCUACAAUUGUGGUGAGCUUGGCCAUCUUGCUCAUCAAUGUCCAAAGCCCAAGAAGGACAAAUACAAGAAGAAGAACAAAGAGCAAGAUGACUCAAGUGAUGAUGACAAGAAUGACAAGAAGCAAUACAAGAAGAAAGGUGGCAAGAAGAAGGAGCACUACAAGAAGAAGAAUGGCAAGGCCUACAUUGUUGGUGAUUGGCUCACCGACAUUGAGAGCUCAAGUGGUGACUCCUCCGGCAAUGAAAGUGAUGAUGAGAAGGUGGCCGCCAUUGCCAUUGAUGCUUCCUCACCAUCAUCUUCACCACCAUCUACAUCCUCUACACACCUAUGCCUUAUGGAUAAGGGUGACCGGAAGGUACAAAGUGAGGAUGAGAGUAGUGAAAGUGAUAGUGAAUACGAAUCACCUUCUUAUGAUGAACUUGUAAAAUUGCUUAACAAGUACACAAAAGUCAUAAGAAAAUCUAGAAGUGAAAAUGAAAAGCUUGAACUUGAAAAUGAAUCACUUCUAGCAAAGCUUAAGUCUAGUGAUGAGCUUAGAGAUCAAAAUGAAAUCAUGACCACUAAGCUCAAGGAGCUCAAACUCUCUUUAAAAGAGCUCAAAGAAAAACAUGAUAAACUUGAGAGUGUUCAUGAUGAGCUUAUCACUAGAUGUAGAGCAAUGAAAGAAGAGUUGACAACUCUAAAAGCAAACUAUGACAAUCUUGAGAUUGCUUAUGAACUUGCAAUUGAUGAAACACAUGUUGCAACUAACAAUGUUGCUAAGCUUGAUGUAGCCACAUCUUGUGAUGACUUACUUGUGGAGAGCACAAGCAAAUGUGUUGAUUGCAAGGGCAAGAAAGUGGUAGUGGCCGAGAGCGAUGGGGACACUAUCAAGCUCAAGGAUGAAAUUGUCAUGCUCAAGAAAGAGUUGCAAGAACAAGCCAAGCACAAGACAAUAGUGAUUGAGUCACUUGAUCAGACAAGAAGCUUGCAUAUGAGAACAAGUUACUCAAAGAAGAAAAUCAAUAUCUCAAGCUUGGUUUGAUGUAUGACAAGCAAGAAGAGGAUGAGACAUUCAUCUUGGAUGAGUUAGCUAGCAACAAUGACCCAAUCAUCAAAAAGCUAACUCAAGAGAACAACAAGCUCAAGAAAGAGAAGGAACACCUAACCAUGGGGUUAGCUAAGUUCACAAAGGGGAAGGACCUUCAAAGUGAGCUUUUCAUGAACACCGUCAUGAAGAUGGACAAGAGUGGGAUUUGCUACAAGGCUCAUCAAACAAAGCUCAUCAUGUCACUAGCCACUCAUGAUCAACCAAGCAAGCCAAAGCCAAAGAGAUGUUUUGAGUGUGGCCAAGAAGGACACUUUGCUCAUGAGUGUAAGGCACCACUACCACCACCCUUGCCCAAGCAUGCAAGACCAUUUGCCUUCAAUGCUCAUUACAUUGUAAGGAAAGACAAGUGUGGCAAGGUCAAGGUUAGCUUCAUGGGGCCGCCCAACAAGCAAAGGCCAAAGAAGAUUUGGGUGCCAAAGCAACUAGUAGAGAAGGUCAAGGGCCCUAAGCAAAUGUGGGUCCCUAAAUCUCAAGCUUGAUCUCUUGUGUCUAGGUGAACUACAAGACCGGUGGAUCACAUUGGGUAAUUGAUAGUGGUUGCACUCAACAUAUGACCGGAGAUCCCCGGAUGUUUACCUCUCUUGAUGAAGAUGUUGACAACCAAGAGAAGAUCACAUUUGGUGACAAUUCAAAAGGCAAGGUCAAGGGGCUAGGAAAGGUUGCUAUAUCAAAUGACAACUCCAUCACCAAUGUGCUCUAUGUGCAAUCAUUGAGUUUCAACUUGCUCUCGGUUGGACAACUUUGUGAUCUUGGAUUUGAAUGCCUAUUCAAGAAGAAGGAAGUGAUUGUGACCAAGGAAGAUGACAACGAAGUGAUAUUCAAAGGCUUCCGACACAACAACCUAUAUGUAGUUGAUUUCUCAUCCGAUGAAGUUGAUGUCAAGACUUGCUUAUUCACCAAGACUUCACUUGGGUGGUUGUGGCAUAGAAGGUUAGCACAUGUUGGAAUGGGCACACUCAAGAAGUUGAUGAAGAAAGAAUUGAUUAGAGGCUUGAAGGAUGUGACAUUUGAGAAGGACAAGCUUUGUAGUGCAUGUCAAGCCGGCAAGCAAGUGGCAAACACUCAUCCAACCAAGGCCUAUCUCUCUACUUCAAGAGUGCUUGAGCUACUUCACAUGGAUUUAUUUGGACCAACCACAUAUGCUAGUCUUGGAGGCAACAAAUAUUGCUUGGUCAUAGUUGACGACUUCUCCCGGUACACUUGGACAUUCUUCUUGCAAGACAAGGCCGAAGUUGCAUCAAUAUUCAAGAAGUUUGCAAAGAAUGCCCAAAAUUAAUUUGAUGUCAAGAUCAAGAAGAUUAGAAGUGACAAUGGCAAAGAAUUUGACAACACCAACAUUGAAGAGUAUUGUGAUGAAGUGGGAAUCAAGCAUGAGUUCUCCUCAACAUACACACCACAACAAAAUGGGGUUGUAGAAAGAAAGAACCGGACAUUGAUCACCAUGGCAAGAACAAUGCUAGAUGAGUACAACACUUCGGAGAAGAUGUGGGCGGAGGCAAUCAACACCGCAUGCUAUGCCUCAAAUCGGCUCUUUCCUGACAAGUUCCUAGAGAAGACACCAUAUGAGUUGCUCAAUGGGAAGAAGCCUGAUGUCUCAUUCUUUAGAGUGUUUGGGUGCAAAUGCUACAUCUACAAGAAGCGCCAACACUUGGGAAAGUUCCAAAGAAGAUGUGACAUUGGCUACUUGGUUGGCUAUUCAUCAAAGUCCAAGGCAUAUAGGGUCUUUAACCAUGCCACAAACAUGGUUGAAGAAACAUUUGAUGUUGAAUUUGAUGAAACUAAUGGCCCUCAAGGAGCAAGUGAUAAUCUUGAUGAUGUAGGUGGUGAACCAUUGAGGGAUGCCAUGAAGAACAUGCCGGUGGGAGACAUCAAGCCAAAAGAAAAUGAUGAUGAUGUGCAAGUCAUUGAGCCACCAUCCACCUCACAUGAUCCACAAGAUGAAGACAAGGAUGUGAGAGAUGCUCAUGAAGACACUCAAGUCACUCAUGAACAAGCGGUGGCACAAGCACAAGACGUUGAUGCUCCCCAACCAACCCCUCAAGUGGCACCAAGAAAAACAUCACAUCUCCUCCAAGAUCACUCUCAAGAUCUCAUCAUCGGGAGUCCAUCACGUGGUGUAACUACUCGUUCUAGACAUGCUUUAUUUAUUGAACAUCACGCUUUUGUGUCUUUUGAAGAUGAACCAAAGACUAUAGAGGAAGCUCUUCGUGAUGCGGAUUGGAUCAUGGCCAUGCAAGAGGAGUUGAACAACUUCUCUCGCAACCAAGUGUGGACACUUGAAGAGCGACCCAAAGAUACAAGAGUGAUUGGAACAAAGUGGGUCUUCCGGAACAAGAAGGAUGAUCAAGGCAAAGUGGUGCGCAACAAGGCAAGGCUCGUGGCAAAAGGCUUUUCACAAGUGGAAGGUCUUGACUUUGGUGAAACCUUUGCACCAGUGGCAAAACUUGAAGCAAUCCGUAUCCUACUUGCGUAUGCAUCUAGUCAUGAUAUCAUGUUAUUUCAAAUGGAUGUGAAAAGUGCUUUUUUGAAUGGAUAUAUUAAUGAACUUGUCUAUGUUGAGCAACCCCCCGGUUUUGAAGACCCUAGGUACCCCAAGCAUGUCUACCGGUUGUCCAAGGCUCUCUAUGAUCUCAAGCAAGCUCCUAGAGCUUGGUAUGAGAGGCUUAGGGACUUCCUCAUUGAGAAGGGCUUCAAGAUUGGGAAAGUUGACACAACACUCUUCACCAAGAAAAUGAAUGGGGAAAUCUUCAUUUGCCAAGUUUAUGUUGAUGAUAUUAUUUUUGGCUCUACUAAUGAAGAUUUUUGCAAGGAAUUUUGUGAUUUGAUGUCCAAGGAGUUUGAGAUGUCCAUGAUUGGCGAGCUAUCCUUCUUCCUAGGAUUUCAAGUCAAGCAAAUGAAGGAAGGAGUCUUCAUCUCUCAAGAGAAGUACACUGAAGAUCUUCUCAAGAGGUUCAAGAUGAUGGAUUGCAAGCCAAUCAAGACUCCCAUGGCAUCAAAUGGGCAUCUCGACUUGGAUGAGGGAGGUAACCAAAUUGACAAGACUCUCUAUCGCUCCAUGAUAGGAAGUCUACUCUACCUCACCGCAUCUAGGCCUGAUAUCAUGUUUAGUGUGUGUAUGUGUGCUAGAUAUCAAGCAAUGCCUAUGGAAUCUCACUUGAUUGCCGUCAAGAGAAUUCUUAGGUAUUUAAAAUACACACCUUGCCUAGGUUUAUGGUAUCCCAAAGGUGCAAGAUUCCAACUUGUAGGCUAUUCCGAUUCGGAUUAUGCCGGGUGCCAGAUUGAUAGAAAAAGCACAUCCGGAGGGUGCCAUUUCCUUGGUAGAUCACUUGUCUCUUGGAUGUUAAAGAAACAAAAUAGUGUUGCCUUGUCAACGGCCGAGGCGGAAUACAUUGCCGCCGGUGCUUGUUGUGCACAAAUACUUUACAUGAAACAAACUUUGCUAGACUAUGAUGUAGUACUAGACAAAGUAACUUUGUUGUGUGAUAACGAAAGUGCCGUAAAACUUGCAAACAACCCGGUUCAACACACCCGCACAAAACAUAUUGACAUCCGCCACCACUUCCUUAGGGAUCACGUUGCUAAAGGUGACAUAUCUCUAGAGAAUGUGGGAACGGAAAAUCAAUUGGCGGAUAUCUUCACAAAACCCCUAGAUGAAGCUAGGUUUUGUAUGUUGAGAAAUGAACUAAACGUGCUUGACCUCUCUAACUUCACUAAAAGAUAAAAGUUGUGUGUUGAAUAGCUUUUGCUUUGCAUAUCAUGCAUACUAAAACUAAAAUACAAAACUUGCAUGUAGGGCUUGUCUAACAUGGUUAAGAUAACCCCUUUGUGUGUGUGAAAAAGCUUAACCUUGGAUCAAACUUGACAAGCAUUAGUUUACUUUCAAUUAUUGCAUUACACCUCAUAUCAUAUGCAUGCUUGCUAGUUGAUUGUUUUCUUUUCGGUUAUUCUUUGAGCAUCCGCUGUGUUCGUCCAUAGAUAGGGGGAGCAUUCAAAGCUCAUUGUGAUUAAAACCCCUAGAUUUAUGGCCACAUGAUGCUCCUUGGUGAUUUCUUGAAUUAUUUUCAUAAAAACUACUAAGCCUAUGGCUAAAUAUUUGUGAAAAUUUUGAGGGUUUGAGAGAAAUCACUCAUACUAGUUCCAUUUUGUGUUUAUUUAUGUGUCUUUGAAAAUGGAACUUGGUUGGGUCAAAGUCGGACGGAGUGCUAAGUUGAAAAAGUGCUCAGAGCAGCACCGGACGAUGCACCGGACGCUGUCUCAGUGCGUCCGGUGCGGUGAGUGUGCCAGACUGCACUCACCGGACGCAGGAACAGUGUCCCUGUAGCGUCCGGUGAUGUGCGUCCGGUGCUUACCAAGCGUGCCCUAUGGCACCGGACGCUAAAGCCAGCGUCUGGUGGCCAUCGUCCGCUGCGAUGCAAAUUUGCAUACCUCUCUGCGUAUGAGUCCGGUGGUCACCGGACGCGUCCGGUGCCACAUUAAGAGCGUCCGGUGACCCCGCGGUGGGCGCAUAAAGCCCGCGCCCAGGGGGUUUCGCGGGCGGUUUUCUUUUCGUCUCUGGAUUUCGCCCGAGCCUCCCCCGUGCCCUAACUCGGUGAACCCGCCGCCACCGUCGUCGUCCUUGAUCCCGGCGGCCUCAGACCUCGCCCCCGCGCCAGAUCCGCCCCCGGUCUUCUCCUCUCCCUUCUCUUCUCGCGUGGAUCAAAUCUCGCGAGAUUUCAAGGGUUUGGGUGAGUCCUUUGAUCCAUGCCCUUAAGGUGUUUGAGUUAUUGUCUCAAUGGAUUAGAAAAAGGUUUUUGACCUUGAUCUUCUCCGUUCCCCAUGUGCAACACCUUAAGGAGAGGUUUCGUGAUCUCCGGCAGUCUUCGAUCGCGAUAUCUCAUUCGGAACGCGUCUCGUCCUUGGAUCGUAAGCCGUUCGCGCUCGUUCCUUAUCCUUUCUUGCGAUCUAUAGGGUUUUCUCACCUCUAGUUGUUAUGUUUGUUUAUAUAUACCCUAUCUUGUCUAUUCUCUGCAGCGCGUUGAUCUCCUUUGUCAGUUGGUUGCUUUGACGGUAGUUCGUUCAGUCGUUUGUUCUUGCAAUGGCUCGUUGCAAGAACGUCAGUGGUCCGGCAGCUGGCACUGGAGGUUCCUCAGGAGGUGAUGUUGGAGGCGAUCCUCCCCGUCGCCUAUCAGCGGCAGAAAAAGGCAAGGGCAAGAAGCUAGCCACGAAGAAGCGCAAGGCCAGUGAUAGAGAGGCAGAGGUGGCAGAGGCAGUUGCAGCAGCAGCCGAGGCAGCUAAGAGAGGUGGUCGCUCAGGUGCUCUGAGGAUCGGUGAUGACCUCACGCCACAGCAGAGGCGUGUAGUUCUUCACACAGAGGCACUACAUGGAUCCCCUCUAGGCACCGUUAUGAUUGGAGGUCAGCGGGUCAGGCUGGUGGUCAGAGAUCCAGCUCAGGAGGAUCCAGAUACAGAGAUAGAGGCCCAGGCAGAGGGUCCAGCAGAGGCACAGGAGCAGCCCCUCAGGAGGUCGACCCGCACUCGUACCCAGGCCACUCCUCGGACUCGUGCGCAGGGCUAGUCUACCUCCGCUGCUCGUGCUACACCAGCCAGAGGCACACCAGCUCCUCAUCAGGGGCCAGCCAGGAUUCAUAGGGAUCUCACUCUUGUGUCAGCCAGAGAGAUCCAGCAGCUGCGGUUUGUUCCGUUUCCUACCUGGUUUCUAGCUGCUAGGGAUCCCCGAGCCGGUGCCAGGUUCUACACAGUGGUCCAGGAGGACAUCUACGAGGCACUGGUCCGUUCGCAGUCUCAGUUCAGGGAGCACAGAGUUAUUGACCUAGAGAUACUCGGGAACGUGGUUGGAGCAGAUAUCCGUCAGUACUUCACCUACCUCCACGGCCUCCCAGAGUUGCUAGCACUCCCUGGUACUUACUGUGAGCAGUGGGUUCGAGAGUUCUACGCGUCAGUGUGGGUUUCUCCAGAUCACAGUUAUAUCCACUACGCACUGGCAGGGACUGAUUACAGGGUCACAGCACAGAGGGCUAGAGAGGUGCUUGGACUGCGAGCCUACUCCACGAGGAUUCACCAGCUGUGCUACGGGAACUUCGAGCCCCCUCGUCGUCCUCAUGGUGGUGAGAUACCACCAGUUGACUUCGUGGCUCCCUGUUUCCGUCCACCGUUUGGAGAGGGCUCCAGCAGGACAGUGGGAGACUUGACACGACCAGCCAGGAUCCUCGACUUUGUGUUGAGGAAGACACUCCUCCCCAGGACAGGCUACAGAGACGGUUUUACUCGUAUCCAGCAGUGGCUAGUAGCUCACCUCAUCUCUCAGACACCUUUUGACUUGUGGGAUUUGAUAGUCUCAGAGAUCGAGGACACUAUUUCAGAGAGCUUCAGGGGAUGGCGUUAGUUGCCGUACGCACACUGGAUCACUCUUCUUAUUCUUUGUGCUAGGCCCGUGCCCCUGCCAGCUCACCUGCAGAGGGAGUUGACCGACUCAGACACUGUCUUCCCCCACUACGACCCCAGGCAGAUGUUGAGAGCGCACCACGACCUUCGAGCUACUCCACCUCCUCGUGCACCACGUGGACCGGUGCCCCCUCCUUCUCCUAGGGGCACUCACAGUACAGCAGCAGUUCCAGAGACUGAGGAGCAACAGGACAUAGCUAUUGGAGCUUUUGCAGAUGCUGAGGCUGAGGGAGAGUUUGAUUUCGCUUCGGACAGCUCAGAUGAUGACUAUCGGCCUCCAGUGACAGACCUCCCCCUAGAGCACACGACCACGAGGCAGGGGGCUCCUCGAGUGCUUCAGACCCCGCUUUGCUUGCUAUAUUAGAGGGUAUGAGGGCAGAUCAGCGCCGAGCAGCUGAGGAGCAGGCGAGGAGAGACAGGGACCAGGCUGCCAUCAAUGCAGCCGUGCAGGCUUGGCAGGAUGAGCUCCAGCGACAGUUUCUCACCUUUCAGGAGCAGCAGCUUGCGUUCUAGGCCCAGCAGACAGCGAUGAUGGCCGCUAUCAUGGCCGCCUCAGGGAUUCAGAUUCUGCAGAUACAGCUCCCAGGCACUUCGUCUGUCAGGCCACCCACUCCAGCGCCACAGACUCAGAGCCAGUCACAGCAGCCACUCCAGCUACCCGCUCAGAGUCAGCCGUUUUCGACGCCUCAGCACCAGGUCUCCCAGGGUGCUAUCUCCUCUGGCUUUGAGCAGGUACCUCAGUUUACGCCUCUCCGCUCUGGCUUUACACCUCAGUCAGCUACAGCGUCACAGCUAGUGUUGGACUCGUCGACAUACCCGCACCUCAGCUUCUCCUACAGUGCUCUGACUGGUGACCCUACGCCAUCACCUCUGCAGGCUCCAGCAGCCUUUAUGGCGUCAGUCACCACUACAGAGCGUAUGUCGUCGUCUGUAGCGUCGUCCGAGCAGCUUGCACCGUCUUCUACCGUGCCAGAGACGUCAGCUACAGCGACCGAGUCCGUGCCGGCUUCGUCAGCAGGCCUUGAGCAGCCCGUUCAGCCGGUAACAGCUUCAGUGCCUCCAGAGCCGACCCAGACCGCUUCGCCAGCUCGUGCAGCUUCAGAGGGUCACUCCACCUCCUCCGCCUCGACGGCCGACGGUUCAGACGAUGCAGCUCGCUUUGAGGCCGUGCCGAGGGACUCCACUGCUCCGCCUCCUCCACCGUCUUCUUAGGUUUUUGGCGCUUGAUGCCAAAGGGGGAGAGAGUGUGAGUAUGAGAGUUAGGAGUUAGGGGGAGCUAGAGAGCUAGAGAGGGAUUUUUAUUCUUUUGAGAUACUCUUAUGUGUGCUACUCCAUCAUGCAUCACGUUUACUUUUAUGCAUUGCAUUUGUGUGAGAUACACUAUGGUUGUGAGACAUGACUUGUGGUUAUUGUGAUAUCCUAAUGUCAUGUGUUUGGCUCAUAUUACCUUUGCUUCCGCGUUUUACUCCGAUAUACUUAUGAGCCUUGUGUUAUAUCCUGCCGUAUACCACUCACUUAUUUGGAUGCAGGAUGUUGGACUUGGUUGAUAUAAGCAUGUCUAAUCCCUUUGCUCUUAUUGUAUCAUGCUUAUUGAAACCAAGUCAUUUGAAAACCUAAACUCUUUUCAUACUCGAGGUUAUUGUCAUCAAUCACCAAAAAGGGGGAGAUUGAAAGAGCAUCUAGGCCCCUAGUGAUUUCAGUGAUUAAUGACAUUGUUGAUUACUAUGACUAACGUGUGUUUUGCAGAGACAAAGUCAUAGGUAAGGUCAUGGUAAUAGGUACUCGAUGGACAGGGACGUACAUGCCUACUUAAUAGUGGAAAUCGUUCUAGUUUUCAAAGGAUGGAUGGACAUCGUCAAGACUAGACUAGGUCUAAGUGCCAUAUGGUGAAGAAGGGCACUUAGAGUAGUUUAGGACUUUGUUUUCCUUUGACCGUACUAUUAAGAGGGGCUUUGAUCUAGUAGCUUGAUUUAGGCAAGGCUUUAGGUUUAGGUGUGGUGCACACUUGGUAAACCUAGCACUAGACAGCUCAGUGAUAGUCCUUAGAUCGAGAGGAACCAACUUCGUUUUGGAGCGAUCGUGUUUUGACGAAGUUAGGGUGCCCAAUGGGGCACAGGACGCUGCACCGGACGCUCUGUGAGUGCGUCCAGUGAGGUCCCUAGCCGUUGGGACUUCUCGGUGCUUAGGGUUAAGCACCGGACGCUGGCACCGGACUCACCGGGUAGCGUCCGGUCCCAUACCCAGGGAGGUUGUAAACCUUCCCCGAGCACCGGACGCUAGCCCCGGACGCACCGGGUAGCGUCCGGUCCCAUGCGCAGGGAGCAUGUAAAUCUUCCCAGAGCACCGGACGGUGCACCGGACGCAGGAAGUUAGUGUCCGGUGACCUGUCAGAAGCAAGUACAGUUAGCCGUUAUGGAGCACCGGACGCUCGGUGCAGUGCGUCCGGUGCAACAUAAUGUGCAUCCGGUGACCCCGUUUUCAGUGGAAAACGGUUGACCGACCUUUGGACUUCGUGGGUAGUAUUUAUACUCCUCCACCUCGUCCAUGAGAGCUCUCUUGCCCAUUUGAACAUCAGAGAAACUUGUUGUGGAGCAAGAGAGCAGCAAGAGCCUAGAGAGGAUUGAGAUUUGAGUGAUUUCUUGAGAGAAUCCUUCUCUAGUGAAUUCCAAGAGUCAAGUGUGCAUCCACCACUCUCUAGAGCCUUGUUUGGGUCAAGUGAGAGUUCUUUGCUUGUUACUCUUGGUGAUCGCCAUCACCUAGACGGUUCGGUGGUGAUUGGAGGCACGAAGACCGCCCGGAGUUCUUGUGGGUGGCUCGUGUCAAGCUUGUGAGCGGUUUUGGGCGAUUCACCACGACGGAGUGUCGAAGAAUCAGCCCGUAGAGAGCACUUGGUCCUUGUGCGGACCAAGGGGGAGCAAGACCCUUGCGCGGGUGCUCCAACGAGGACUAGUGGAGAGUGGCGACUCUCCGAUACCUCGGCAAAACAUCGCCGAGCACUUUCUUCCACUACUCCUUUACAUUCUAGCAUUUACUUUGUGCUUUUACAUUCUUAGAAUUGUCAUGCUAGAAUAGGAUUGGAACUAGGUUGCAAAACUUUUAUCCGGUAGCUCUCUAGGUCACACUAGGCACAAGGGGUUGAAUUGGAGCUUAUAGGUUGCUUAAAUUUUUAGAGAAGCCCAAUUCACCCCCCCUCUUGGGCAUCUUGAUCCUUUCAGGAAUCAAGCUCUGUUCUUGAUUUUCCUUAGUCCUUAUGCGUAGAUGAAGAGUUAAUUAUGUCGUAGAUGAAGAGUUAAUUAUGGUAUAGGUGAAAGUAUGUAUGCUUAGGGUGUACAUAAGACUAAGUAUCUAGGAAUGACUUAACAAUCUUUCUCCCAAUUAAUCAUUUAGCCUAGCUAUACUUAUGAGUAUCUAUUUCUAUCUCCGGAUUAUCAUUAUUUCCCUAUACUUAUCAUUUAUAUAGCAUCUGGCUUACCCCUAUUGAGAGUAAGUGUUUAGUUAAUGAUUUCCCCUAUUGAGAGUAAGUGUUUUAGUUAAUGAUUUCAUCAUAAGUAUUAUAUUUGUCAGUAUCUAUAGCCAAUGCUCCUCCCUAUGGUAAAAUACAAAUAACAAUACAUGGAAUACUCCUAGGUGUACAAUGGUAAAUUUUUGCGCUUGCAGAAUCUCUAAUAUAUAAAUAUAUUCUUUCUAAAGUCACGCCAGGCACCAUUAUUUGGAAAUUUAGUAAUGACAUUAAUAAAUGUUAAUAGAGGCACUCGAAACAGCACAAUAGACAAAAGAGGAAAAAACCAAUUUAGUACAUUGGGGUUUCCCAAACAAGGGGCUCCCUAUAGUAGUUUGGUGUGCCUUUCCCAUGGGGUUAGCAGUAUAUAGGAAAGAGAACUCACCACCUCCGCAUCUAGUAAUAUGAUACUAAUUGAUGUUGGCCACUAAUGGGUCUAAAUAAAUAUUAAAGCCCAUUAGAGAAAAUAGGAAAAUGGGCUUUUUAAGGGAUUAGAAUUUGUAGAUAUUUCAUAAAUAUUAUCAAACCCUUUUGAACUAUUUUGUAAACUAUUUGAAAAUAUUAAAGGUGGAGAUUGAACCAGGACGAGAUAAAGGUGGAGAAGGGGCUCGGAAUCUCUGCAAGGACCUCACGCAGCUCGGCAAUAGAUCGAUUUCCACAGAAAAGCUUCGAAGGGUGAUCUUUCACGGCGGCAGGCGGAUUUGGCUCGGCAAGAUCCAAUCUUCGGCUUCAAUGGCGACUAGGGCUUCCCAGGCACUCCUAGAUGGGAAAAGGGACAUCGAGGAAAGGUCGCGGUUCUUAUAGGGUGCUCGGUUUGGCUCUAGAGCAAGUAAAUCCCGAGAAGAUUGGGAUUUGGAAGGCGGGAUGGAGUCCUGCUUGCUGCCGGCUCGAGGUAGGAGAAAGGGGGUGCCACUGACGCGUGGGACUAGGCUGGCAGCGAGACAAAAGGGGAGGGAAAGAGAGCGCGCUGGGCCAAGUGACCAACUGGGCCGAGCUGCUGUGCACAGAAGGAGAAGAGGGAAGAUGCGUUGGGCUGGCUGCUGCCGCUGGGCCGCGAGAGUGCAAAGAGAGAGGGGGUGCCGUGUGGGCUGGUCUGCUGUCGGGCUUGCGCGCAGGGUGAGGGAACAGGCCGGGAGGGAAAGGGGUUGGGCCUGUCGGGCCAAAACAGAGAGAGGGAGAGGUUUUUCUUUUUCUUUUGUUUUUUUUAAUUCUUUUCUUUCAAGCCAUUUUUAAAUCAUUCUAAAAAUAUUUUGAAUUUUUGACAAAGUCACUCAUCUCAAUAAAUAAAAUGUAAAUACCCAAAAAUUAAUGCACAACCAUGUUGCUAAAUCCUAUGAUAAAUUUUAUUUUAAUAAAAAAAUUAUUUUCCUAUAUUUUAUAAGCACCAAAAAUUAUAAAUAAAUUAUUUUAGCUCUAUUUCUAAGGAAAUAAUUUUUAGGAUGUUACACCUAGCCUGCAAGGGUGCCAGGCACCCGGCCGCUAGGCCACCAGACAACGAGGAACAAAGCGCAGCCAGAUGAGAAUCUCAGGUGGGCCACUGAACCUCACCCCUUCUAGCCUUUGGCUUCUCCUCCGCAUCUUUUUUCUGGUUAGGGUUCGAGGUCAGAUCACGACCGCAUGGGCUCUUCCAGUUGCAUCUCUCCUCACCCCCUUCCCUACUUCUAUCUCAAGAAUAUCCCUGUUGCCUAAAUCAGUUCAAUAAAUGGAUUUACUAUUGCUCCUAUGGUUUUCAAUUAUAAAUCUGUUGACACUAAAAACUGUCCCAAAGUAGAGUGCUAUGGCUUAUGAAGAUUGAAGCUGGCCUGAUGACAGGGUGUUGGUGAUCUUAUUCAUUACAACAAGAGGUAAGCAUGGAGUGGGAUCGCUUGCAUAUUAAUCACUUAAUGGCCCAUGACGAGCAAGCAUAUCUUCGUAAGGUUAUAUGUAGUAUUAUAUGGAGAUGGUGGACUAAUUAAGGCCUUGUUUAGUUUGAAAAAAAAAUUGCAAAAUGAACACUGUAGCACUUUUGUUUGUAUUUAACAAAUUUUAUCUAAUUACAGACUAAUUAGGCUUAAGAGAUUUGUCUCGCAAAUUAUAGAUAAACUGUAAAGUUAGUUAUUUCUUUUAUUUAUAUUUAAUGCUUCAUGCAUGUGCCGCAAGAUUCGAUAUAACAGAAAAUCUAAAAAGUUUUGCAAAAUUUUUUGAAACUAAACGAGGCCUAAUUAGAAGUCCAGGAGCUGCACGUCCUGCUGCCCUCUGAGCUUAGCAUGCAAGAUGAGGCGGACGUUUAUAGUCUAUGAAGUUAGAGAAUUUAAGUUAUAGGUAGCAUGUCCAUGUGUUGCUAUAGGAUAUUUAACAUUUUAUACUAAAAAUAUAUGGAUCACACGAUAAGAUAACAAUACUAUAAAAUUAAAUACUGAUAUUAAAGUGACAUUUAAUAAAAAAACAAAGUUAGUGAAAUCAAUAUAGUCACGGAGAGUGCGGUAUCGCAGGCUCACAAAAUCUAAACUCUACUGUACAGUUCUUUCCAUGAUGUAGCUAAGAUAAUAUUUUAUAUUGACAGAAAAAAUCUCGGAUAUCUAUUUCUUUCGUGUGCUAAUAAACCAUAAAUAAGUUUCACCGUACUGUACUCCCUCCGUCCCUAAAUACUGCUAUUUCUAGGAGAAAAUUUUGUCCACAAAUACUGCUAUUUCUACUAGCAUACUCAGUCCACCAACCCAUUUAAUUAUCCUCGGAACUUGCGUGGUUCACCAACUCAUUUAAUUUCUUCUAGGGAGUAGUACUUUGGCACAUGGUAAUUGGUUGAGUCUAUUCAGUUGACAUUAAAUGCAGCUCGUUGGAACCAGAGAAUCAUGGCUUAACGUGCAUGAUUAAAUGGUGGAACCUAAAUUAAUUAAGGGUAGAAUGGUCUUUUGUUUGUCACACUAAUCUGUCUUAAAUCUGCUAGUAAUAGCAGUAUUUAGGGACGGAGGGAGUACAUAGGUUCGAGUAUAUAUGUAUAGUGCCUGUCACAUGGGUAAUACACUAGUACAGAAAAGCUCUACGCUGACGGUGAAGUAUAAUUUUUGUAGGUGGUUUCAAUUAAAAAAUAUCUGUGAAAAGAAAUCGGCAAGCCCGACUCAAAAACCGCCAAUGGAAACACAAUUUCACUAAGGUUUUCUUAAGAAAAUCGUUACAAAUGGUGCAUUUUCACGGUUCUCUGUUAGUGAAAAUAGAUUUUUAAAAGACAGUUUUUCUAAUAAAACUGUCUGUAGAAAUCAUAUAUUUCCACGAGCAGUUUUCUUAAAAACCCGCCACUAAAAAUCAUAUUUCUAGUGGCGGUUUCUUAAGAAAACCGCCUGUAGAAAUAAUUUGAAAUUGAUUUUUUUUAGUUUUUCAAAUAACCACAUAUGAAAAAACAACAAAAAGUUGUAGAUCUCAAAAAGUUAUGAAACUUUAUAGCUGAUAAUUUUUUCAUUUGAAAUCGUCUUGUCAUCGAAAACUACGCUCAAAUUUAUCAAAUUUGAAAUUCAAAUUUUGUGAAUUACCGCGGAUGGAGAAACUACCAAUAUAAAAGUUAUAGAUCUUAAAAAAUUAUGUAACUUUGUAGUUGACAACUUUUUUAUUUCAAUCCAUUUAGGGCCUCAAACAAUCAAUGUUGCUCUGUUUAGAAUAAUAUGUGGGAAACCAAACUCUAGACACCAUGAGUGAUGGGUGGAGUUGUAGAGCAGGCUACACACAAGAGGGAGGUCGAAGGUUCAAAUCCCACCGGUCAUGUAGCGCGGGAUUUUAUGCAAAAAAAAUACGCGACUUGUGAUUUCCCUAUGAUUAAUUUUUUUUCUAAAUUUUAAAACUCAAUUUAUAUUUUCUAGACAAGCAUUUAUACGUACGGUUGGCAUAACACAACCGUACGUGGAAAUUGAUUUGCACAGGUGGAAAGAUUCAUUUCCAUUGACCCCUAGCACUGAUAGUUAUGAAAAACGACUGUACAAAUGGAUUUAGAACCGUCUGUAUAGAGUUUCUAUGUACUAGUGUUACUGUGUGUUUUGAAAAUUCUCUCACAUAACUUUAAAACGAAGUAUGUCCAUAUAAAUAUAUGCAGGGUCUAUUUCACGCAGAAGAAUAAGAUAUCCUCGUUUUGAAGUAUCCUCAUUCCAUCUAGGACUAUGUACAUUCACUGCAACAAUCAUGAUAAGCGUCUUGUUCUGCUCGUUGAAAACAUAAGUGAUGUCACGACAUAAGUCUCUAAUAUAUGUGUAUACGGUUGAAGUUUGCGUACGUUCAUAAUUUCAGCUGGUUUUGGAACCCCUGUUUGUCUUGUUUAUUUGUAAAAAUCAAUAUUGUAAGGAUGAACAAUUAGAACACUUUCUGAAUAGGAAAAGUUUGAGCCUAACGUGGCAAGAGAUAGCAUUUUUUACUGCCAAGCACAUGCCAUAGUAGUUCUCCCAUACUGGUUUUGACCCUCAGUGUUUGAAAUGCUAUUUCAAUAUAAUUUCUAUGCAUAAAGCCUAAUACCAUCAAGAGAAAAAUAUCCAUUUUCCAGUUCAUUAACCAGACACCUUUAUCGUUAAGUAAACGAGCUACAAUAAUCUUGUAGCAUUAUUGGAUUAUAUAUCUAUUAUAGGACUCUAUCAUUCCAAACUGAAUAUACCAAACGAUAAAUGUCACUCGUCUUCCUGGUAUUGAAGGACCAAAAUAUUUUUAAUAACACAAUUUUAUAGAACUUAAAAUAAAAUAUCGAGUUCAUCACCAUCACUUUUCAAACUGAAUAUACCAAACAAUAAAUGUCACUCGUCUUCCUGGUAUUGAAGGACCAAAAUAUUUUAAUACUACAAUUUUGUAGAACUUAAAUUGAAAUAUUGAGUUCAUCACUAUUACUUAGAGGUCUGAUAAUAGCAUACAUAUUCUUUCAAGAGAUUGUGGAGUUCAGUAUAGUAAUCAUCAAGCCUCCUAAUAUUUGAACUAUCAUCAUCAACACCUAGUCAUUAGGCUCUACUGCCGGGCUAAAGCCCCCUGUGUACAGUUUGCCUCCACAGUUUGGUUGAGUGUUUGCUUGCCCUUUUUGGCCCUAGUACAUAUAACUCCUCUUUACCCCUUAAGACUGACUCCAACGGCGGACGCAUAACGUGACCCAAACCUAAAAUACGCUGCACACAGUGUUUUUAUCAGUCAAAACGUGCUCCAACGGAGGAGGCAAACCUGCAACCCAUUUUGCGUCCAGGCUGAGGUAGAACCCAAAAAUGGGUCUUCGCUCGGUCCUUUUGCGUCUCCACGCAGAGACGUCGGACCCACCACAGGAAGCAGACAACCAGAGCUGCUCGUUUGCGUCGCUUGUUGGAGAAGUGCUGUUUUGGAUCCGUGACCCUUUAACUGUGGGCGACCUAAAACAUAAAAUGCAUCUUCUUUUUGGAUCAGGACUGUUGGAGACAGUCUAAUGAAUGAUAGAGCUCCUACUCUUAGGCCAUGUUUGGCACAGCUCAACUUUAUUAGUGAAGCUGAUUUUUUACAAAAUAGCUUCAUGAGCAACUUUAGAUGAAGCUGAGCUAUUUUGAAAAAAGUGUUUGAUAAAAUAGCUUCAUCAACUACUUCUUGCAUAGAUGAGAGAGAGAAAUGAGGGAGAGAGCUGCAGUAAGCUACUUUUUUUUAGCUUCAUCUCAACUCAUAUCUUUGUGAGAGGAGAAAAGAAACAGCUUCACCCAUGAAGCUAUUUUAGAAAUAAGUGUUUGGCAAAAGAACGGCUCACAACAGCUCAUGAAACUGUCGUGAGGUGUACCAAAUAUGCCCUUCAAAAAAAGAGCUAUCAUCAUCAAGCCUCCUUUGCGCCUGAACUAUCAACAACUGCAUGCCAGGCUCUCAUACAGAUCGCAUAGAUUGUUGAGCUUCUAAUCUUCCAUCUCAUGUUUGACAAAGAAUUGCUUGAUACCCUCGAGGGUGAGCUCAUCUCUCUUGACAAGAAUCCUAAAAGGCUCAUGAACUUGUGGAUGAUCUCAAGGGCCUCUGGGCCUCUGGGGGCAUGGUAGCUGAGAAUACACCGACCUGAAUCUUCGAUGAGGAUGUUGGAAGCUAUCAUACACCUGCAAAUGGCACAUGUCAGUUGAAGCCAAGCAUCUUAUAAGCUACCAAAAGAUAUCUGCAAAGAACAACUCAAACCUGGUUCAGGAACAUUAGAUGACCAAAUCAGCAAGUUCCGCCACAAAAUGAAAUUAGCUUUUUAUGAAUCCCAAUAAUAAACGAUAAUUUGAGCUUGAUUUUGUUAUUAAACAAUACUUUGAGCAUCCCAGUAACAUAAAUAAUGAAUGAAUAAAAGUUAAAACACUUCAUUACUAAUGCAUGCAUGAUUUGAGAAGCUUGGUGCCUUGGUGUUACUAUUAAAGUAACAUACUCCAUUAGAUUGAAAAACGUUAAUAUAGUCACGGUUAGAUUCCCAAAUAUUGGCAAGCCGUCCUCUUCAUCCAUCUUGUCAGCCCUCAUCAACUUAUGAAUUGUUCCAUUCCCAAAGAUUUUCGUAAGUUGUGAAGGUAAUACAUAUGUUUAGAGCUAGCAGUAAUAGUAAUCGGCCCAUUAUUCCUCUUCAUCAAACCACUUAUAGUAUCACUCAGCAACAGGAAGCCUAAAAGUGAUUCUGCAAUUAUAUUACAUGAAUUGUAUCAAAAUCAUCUUAUGUUUUCUUCUGCAAUUCAUCACCAAGAAACACAGGAACAAUAGUACAAGUAGACGACUAUUUCUGCUACAAAUCUAUUCACAUGGAUUUCGUUUUAUUUGGCAAUUAGUGUCCAACUAAACUAAUUAGACUUAAAAAAUCGUCUUCAACGGUUUUGCAUUUGGGGUUUGCAUUCUUGUAAUUUGCUAAAAAUCGCAAAAAGAGGUAUCCAAUGGUUUUGCAUUUGGAGUUUGCAUUUUGAGCAAUUUGGCAAAUGAGAGGGCAAACUUGACAUAAUUGGCAAGCCACGGGUAGCUUGGUAAAAGCCCGAUCGCGCGCGUCUCCCGGUCCCCCGCGCGAUCCGGACUUUUCUUCGCGCCAUAUAUGCUCCAUUCAUCGCGACAGAAACCCCGUGGCCCUCCACACGCCGCCGCCUCACGCCAUGAGUUCAAGGACGCCCGAUUGGCGACGGAGUAGCAGCAGCGACGUUCCUAGGGCAACAGCGAAGCACUCGAUGCCUUCCUAGGGCAGCAGCUAUGGUGAGCAGCAAGACAGGAAAUGACGGUGACCUGAUUGGCGAUAGAACUCGCGGCGAUACUAGCGGCGUGGUCGAUUUCUUCACGCGCCAGGUACUAGCGGCGCGGGUACCUGGCGCGUGAAGAAGUCGACCGCGCGGGAAGGAACCAUGACCGCACGCCACAUGGAAAAAAAUUUGCAUCCGGAUCCACUUUCGAUAAAAGCCAAGUCAAUUAUGCAAAACCGAUGGCUUAUUUUUAGACUUUGCAUUUUGUUUUAGAAUUUUGCAAACAACAACGAAUACCAAGUCAAUGCAAAACCCUUUUAGAUGCUUAACUAGACUCAAAAGAUUCGUCUUAUAAAUUACCGACGAAUUAUGCAAUGUUAUUUUUUUAUCUAUAUUUAAUAUUUCAUACAUAUGCUGCAAGAUUUAAUAUGACCAGAAAUCUUCACUAUUUUGCAAAAUGGUUCAGAAACUAAACAGGGCCCAAACGGUACUACUUAUGCCGACUACAACCAUUUAAAAUAGCAACAAGCUAACACCUUGUUUAGUUCCUUCUUAUGCCAACGACAAGCAUUCAGAAUAAGCUAAGGUUUUGUUUAGGCCUUGUUUAGUUUCCAAAUUGUUUGGAUUGAGGUAUUAUAAUAUUUUUAUUUUUAUUUAGCAAAUAUUAUCUAAUCAUAGACUAACUAGGCUUAAAAGAUUUAUCUCGUUAUUUAUAGGCUGUGCAAUUAGUUUUCGUUUUCGUCUACAUUUAAUAUUUCAUACAUAUGGCGUAAGAUUCGAUGUGACAAGAAAUCUUAAAAAGUUUUUAGUUUUUAGGAUGAACUGUUCUUAAGUGAAAAGUUUUUUAAUACUAUAGCAUUUUCAUUUGUAUUUGGUAAUUAUUAUCUAACUAUUGGAUUAAAUAAACUUAAAAAAUUCGUCUCAUAAAUUACAUAAAUUACUAGCAAAUUAUCAAUUAGUUAUUCUUUUAAUAUAUAUUUAAUGCUACAUACAUGUUUAGUCAUUUUUUAAUAUAUAUUUAAUGCUACAUAUAUGUGUCAUAAAAUUGGAGAGAAUUUUAAAAAGUUUUUAGAUUUUGGGUGUAAUUAAACAAGGCCCAAUUCAAUUAGCACAGUUAUGGUCUCUGGAACAUCAAAAAAUUAUAAAGGUCAAGCUGCCCAUAAUUACACAUAUUCAAGUUUUUACAAUACAAAUGCUGCCCAUAAUUACUGCUAGUCUUCACAAAGCAGUACAGCUGCAGGAGACAGGAAGAGCUUACAAAUCUACAAGUGCAAAAGAAAUGAUCAUCUCCAGAAAUUUCACAUUUGAAAGUAUAAUUACCAAAAUUUCACAAAAGAAAUGACACGUAGGCAGUGAGCGUCUCCAGAAAUUUCACAUUUGAAAGUAUAAUUACCAAAAUUUCACAAAAGAAAUGACACGUAGGCAGUGAGCAUCUCCAGAAAUUUCACAUUUGAAAUUAUACCUAAGUUUCACGGUGAAUCCAAGGCAACAAGCAUAUGAUUUGCAUGCCAAAGUCAUGUUAUACAAAUAGCGCUGCAAAAAUCACAGAACUCUAUUGAACUGAGCUAAUAGAAAAGGCACUAUCGUCAUUCGGGAUCCAUCAGGGAGCAAUAUAUCGAAAGCACAACCAACUACACACUAAACCAUUCGCUUCCAACUGCCAGAUAAAUUAACACAGGGAACCACGAUUAGCACCCAACUGCUAGUACCACCACCACCAGAAAUCAGUACAAACAAGAGGGGAGGCGACCUAGCUAAGACGAGGUGAACUUGGUGACGGCCUUGGUGCCCUCGGAGACGGCGUGCUUGGCGAGCUCCCCGGGGAGGACGAGGCGGACGGAAGUCUGGAUCUCUCGGGACGUGAUGGUGGGCUUCUUGUUGUAGCGGGCGAGCUUGGCGGACUCGGCGGCGAGCUUCUCGAAGAUGUCGUUG